CCUACGGUGGGCUGCAGUAAGGAAUAUUGCGCAAUGGGCGAAAGCCUGACGCAGCGACGCCGCGUGGGGGAUGAAGGUCUUCGGAUUGUAAACCCCUUUCGGGAGGGAAGAUGGAGCGAGCAAUCGUUCGGACGGUACCUCCCGAAGCAGCCACGGCCAACUUCGUGCCAGCAGCCGCGGUAAUACGAAGGUGGCAAGCGUUGUUCGGAUUGACUGGGCGUGCGGGUUGGCGAGGCGGUUUGCUAAGCCUUGAAGCUUCGGGCCCAACCCGGAAAGCGCAGAGGGUACUGCCAGGCGAGAGGGUGGGAGAGGAGCGCGGAAGUCCCGGUGUAGCGGUGAAAUGCGUAGAGAUCGGGAGGAAGGCCGGUGGCGAAGGCGGCGCUCUGGAACAUACCUGACGCUGAGACACGAAAGCGUGGGGAGCAAACAGGAUUAGAUACCCCUGUAGUC
rnacentral:rRNA from 1 species